UACGUAGGGUCCGAGCGUUGUCCGGAAUUACUGGGCGUAAAGAGCUCGUAGGUGGUUUGUCGCGUUGUUCGUGAAAACUCACAGCUCAACUGUGGGCGUGCGGGCGAUACGGGCAGACUGGAGUACUGCAGGGGAGACUGGAAUUCCUGGUGUAGCGGUGGAAUGCGCAGAUAUCAGGAGGAACACCGGUGGCGAAGGCGGAUCUCUGGGCCUUACCUGACGCUCAGGUGCGAAAGCUAGGGGAGCGAACAGG
rnacentral:rRNA from 1 species